rnacentral:tRNA from 1 species
AUUUAUUUAGUAUAUAAGUACAUUUGACUUCCAAUCAAAAAGAUUGAUUCUUUCAAAAUAAAUA